rnacentral:rRNA from 1 species
GACGAACCGUGCGAACGUUAUUCGGAAUCACUGGGCUUAAAGCGCGUGUAGGCGGGCGGGUACGUCGGCGACUGAAAGCCCCCGGCUCAACCGGGGAAGGGGUGCCGAAACGGCCGGCCUGGAGGGGCGUAGGGGGACCUGGAACUUCCGGUGGAGCGGUGAAAUGCGUUGAGAUCGGAAGGAACGCCCGUGGCGAAAGCGAGGUCCUGGACGCCAACUGACACUGAGGCACGAAAGCUAGGGGAGCAAACAGG